AACGAACGCUGGCGGCAUGCCUAACACAUGCAAGUCGAACGAUGCUUUCGGGCAUAGUGGCGCACGGGUGCGUAACGCGUGGGAAUCUGCCCUUGGGUUCGGAAUAACAGUGAGAAAUUGCUGCUAAUACCGGAUGAUGUCUUCGGACCAAAGAUUUAUCGCCCAGGGAUGAGCCCGCGUAGGAUUAGCUAGUUGGUGGGGUAAUGGCCUACCAAGGCGACGAUCCUUAGCUGGUCUGAGAGGAUGAUCAGCCACACUGGGACUGAGACACGGCCCAGACUCCUACGGGAGGCAGCAGUGGGGAAUAUUGGACAAUGGGCGCAAGCCUGAUCCAGCAAUGCCGCGUGAGUGAUGAAGGCCUUAGGGUUGUAAAGCUCUUUUACCCGGGAUGAUAAUGACAGUACCGGGAGAAUAAGCUCCGGCUAACUCCGUGC
rnacentral:rRNA from 1 species